rnacentral:rRNA from 1 species
UACGUAGGUGACAAGCGUUGUCCGGAUUUACUGGGCGUAAAGAGCGCGCAGGCGGUCGAUCAAGUCGAGUGUGAAAGCCCCCGGCUCAACUGGGGAGGGUCAUUCGAUACUGAUCGACUCGAAGGCAGGAGAGGGUAGUGGAAUUCCCGGUGUAGUGGUGAAAUGCGUAGAGAUCGGGAGGAACACCAGAGGCGAAGGCGGCGACCUGGACAAGUACUGACACUCAACUACGAAAGCGGUGGGGAGCAAACAGG